GACAGAGGUGCCAAGCGUUAGGCGGAAUCACUGGGCUUAAAGCGUGUGUAGGUGGAUGUCUAAGUACCUUGUGAAAUCCCACGGCUCAACCGUGGAACUGCUUGGUAUACUGGAUGUCUUGAGCCACUUAGGGGCUACCGGAACAAAUGGUGGAGCGGUGAAAUGCGUAGAUAUCAUUUGGAACGCCAAUGGUGAAAACAGGUAGCUGGGAGUGUACUGACACUGAGACACGAAAGCCAGGGGAGCGAACGGG
rnacentral:rRNA from 1 species